rnacentral:lncRNA from 1 species
UUAGAAGAUCUACGUCCUUUUAAGUAUAAAAAAAUUUACUACCUCAAAAAGAACCCCAGAAAAAUGUAAAAAAAAAACCUAGUUUGUCGAUAUAGCGUUGGCACAACCCUGUGCCAUGUGCCAACACGGCCUCAGCAUGGUAUGGCAUGGGCAGCACAUGCAGUCCUUGGUUUAAUCUAUAAAUUCUUGAUCCAGUAGGACUUCAAGAGCUUGCUAACUAAUCCAUCUAGCAUUUCUCCGAUCCUUACAGUACCACUAUAGUGCCUUGCAGUAUCAUUACUGUGCUGUACAGUACUGCUAAAAUUCUUAGCAGUACUUGAUAUUUUUAUUGCAAUUUUCCUUCUUUCUGGACCUCUCAGUUUGGGGUGUUACGUAGCAUAACAAUAUUUGAUAAAAUAUGGUCUUACUUAUGUCAAUCAUUUCCAUCAGAAUAACUAUUUGUCUCAGUACUGGCGAGUGCUAUGGGUAACUUCCAAGUUUCUACUUUUGUAAAACUAAGCCGAUGCUCCAAAUUAGCGAAAACAGUUGUUUCAACCUGUUAUACUUGGUUUUUGCCUUUCGUGCAGUGAAGAAUCCAAUUAAUGGCAGUUCUUUUUUCAUCAUAGGUGACCUUUUUAGAUAUGUCUGCACACUUUGGAAAAAUUCAUGUACAAUUUUUUUGUCCUGUUAGGCUUGAUGUGGAUGAGAGUGGCCUUACAGCACUAGUACGGUUGAGCAAUGGUGACAUGAGAAAGGCUUUGAACAUAUUGCAGGUUCUGAUCUGCACUAUCUAACACUUUUAAGCUCUUUAUGCUUAUUUUUUUUUAAAAAAAAUAUGUGCUUCUGUUAACUACUUUGUUUUCAUCUAGGAUUCACUUGUUAGAUCAGUAGGAAGUCUGAUCUGCGCAGUCAUUUUUGUUCUCUACUUUGUUUUGAGUAGCUUGGUUAAUAAACUUGACCUAUAUGAUCUCCUUUAGCUCACUCGUUGACCAAUAAAGUGAAUAACAUUUUUUUUUGAUUUAGAGGCUUAGAGCUAGAUAGUCCUUCAUUUGAGGUCUGUAAGUUAACUUCUCUAAAUUUGCCAGCCUUCUCCUUAUUCUUACAUUGAGAUUUAUUCUCCAUUUCUGUUUUGCAGUCAACGCAUAUGGCUUCUCAACAUAUAACAGAAGAAGCCGUCUACCUUUGCACUGGAAAUCCAAUGCCAAAAGACAUUGAGCAGAUAGCCUAUUGGUUACUGAAUGAAUCAUUUACAACCAGUUUCAGAUGUAUCCUACACGAAUUGUUUCCAUUUCUAUGUUUUCUUUCUUAGUUAUCUUUUAAUCUGAAUAUACACAUGUUAUGAAUUUGUCCUUUACUUUGUUUAGAUAUAUCUGAUAUAAAAAUGAGGAAAGGAUUGGCGUUGAUCGAUAUUGUGAGGGAGGUUACUAUGUAUGGAUUUACAAACUCAUCUUUUUCCUUUUUGUUUACCCUUUAAUAAGUGGACUUUUCUUUUGUAGCGGUCUCUAACGAAUUGCUUUCUCAGGUUUGUUUUCAAAAUACAAAUGCCAUCAAAUGUCCAAGUAAAACUAAUCAAUGAUUUGGCAGAUAUCGAGUAUGUUCUAAAUUUUCACAUCUGGCUUGUUAUUAAUCUUUUUGCUAUAGUUGUGUAUCUAUUGCUUGUACUUCUUGUGUUUCUGAUGACCAUGAGUACGGUACGAAUGGAUAUAGUCAUGAUCAGUGCUGGGGACACAUAAGCUCAACCUAAGUAUCUUUCGUAUAUAGCAUCUGGAACAAGCCUUGCCUCAUUAUAUGUGUAAUCACUCUUUUUUUCAAAAAAAAAAAAAAAUCAAAUUUGUAAACUUGUACCAAGUAAUCUGACUGGGUAAGAUAGGGUUACAUCAGAUCAAUCUGGAUUUAUUCACUAUGUAGGAUUCAUUGUAAAACUUCAGCAGCUGGAAGAAGUUAAGGCUUAUAAUAGUCAUUUCAUUCAAGAAGAAGAAUCUGGUUUAGGUUUAAAUCCAAUUCUAACUGUACGAAAGCUGUGCAGUUAAAGAACCAAUGCAUUAGUUUUACAAUAUAUAUUCAAAUUAGCAUCAAACAAGCCAAAAGGUGUGCAGGCUUUUAGGUUAGCUUAGCAAGUGCCUUUGUUUCAGAUUUGCCAUUUUUGGAAGAUACACUAAUAUUCCAGUCCUAUAUUGGUAUGAAAAGUUAAUGCAUGAUCCUUCUGAAGCUCAAACCAGAUAUUUAAUGAUGGCAAGAUGUGUAUGUUGAGGCGGACGAGUGAUCUCGCAAAAAGAGAAUAAGAAGCAAGUUUGACUGGCAAAAGUUGGAAAUAGCAUUUCUCGAGUAUAUGUGGCUGAAAAUCUCAUAAAAUGGUUUUGACAUGUUGUAUAGGUAUGAGUUGCAAAAAUAAGUGUGACGACCCAAUAAUGCCACAUUGGGGAGGACAGUAAUUCCUAUGGGAAAGGAAUUUCUUGUAGGAAUACAAGGAUCAAGGGCUCUAGUAAUAAUAAUUGGGCCUAAACAUUUUUGGCGCGUGGUUUGGGCCUAAAAAUUAUAAUGCUAGCAGGUUGGGUCAUUAUAUUUAGUAUCAGGGGCGGUUUGUUAGCUGGAAGUGUAAGAUUGAUUUCACAUUGCCGGGUAAUAUUGAGCUAGGGAAUGAAAUCGCCUGGUAAUAUUGAGCUAGGGAAUUGGACUUGACGAGGACAUAAAGGUUUAAAUAGGGGAGUCUGUAAUGCUCUAAUAGUCCCAUAUCGGAUGAAAAAGAAAUUCCUUUUGGGAACAUAGGUACUAAGGCUGUAAUAAUAGUGUAACUAGACUUAAGCAUUUUUACUCAGCGGUUUGGGCCCAAUAAGUUAUUAGUACUAGUGGAUUGCAUUAUUAGAAUAAGUGACUCUUCAGAAGAUGCUUGAGAAUAGGAUGGCCAAAAAUGUUGUUGGAGAAGCAAGAAAAAGGCGUAACAUUUACUUUCAUGUCGGACCAUGUUUAAAUAGUGUUGACCACUGAGUGAGAGGAAACUAUCUAUAUAGCAAACCCCAAUAAGAGUGAUCAUGUAAACAGUUUAGCAUAACUAUAAUAACAGGGUUUUGUUUCAAGUAUAAUAUUUCCUCCUGUUUUGUAACACAUCCAAUGGGUUCUCAUCAUUUGCAAUAUCUACACCAUCAGUUCAGUUUAAUCUCUCUGCAGUUUCAAAUGUCAACACUAUAAAAACCAGAGAGGAUGCAAUGGGUGGCAUUUUAUAAUUUGUACUCUUGCAGCAACUAAAACUAUCAUUUUUUUAAAAAAUUAUUUGGUUUGAAGCAUGUAAAUGUUGCUUAUACUGCAUUUCUUAACCAAAAGCCAAAUGAAUGAAAACUUAUGUCUCCAAGCAAGAUAACGAUCUUGGAUUUAAUGCUGUUAAGUUUUUUUACCAUCCUUUAUUUGUGCUAUUUUCUUAAUUUUGGAGAAUGCAAGACAUUAAUACUUAAUGUUUAAAAAUAACAGCCCUGAUGGUUCGAAUAUCUUUCCCUGCAGGUAUAGGUUGUGUUCUGCAUGCAAUGAUAAGUUGCAGCUUGGAUCAUUGAUCUCUACUUUCACUAACGCCCGUUGUGCCAUUGUUGCUGCUGCGAAGUAACAUUGAAGUGAAGCUGCGGCCUUUUACUUUUCUGAUCUGACAAGAGAAAUUAUACUUUUUGGUGAAUCUGGCAUAAUUCAAUGAGGCUGUUUGGCUCCUGUGCGCAGCAAAUUGAGGGGAAUUGCUGUAACUUAACCAUUGUAAGAUAGCUUGUGUUUUGCAAAACUAUGUGUUGACCUGUUAUGAUCAAAAUCUGUUUGUUGCACUGGCCGUGUUGAGGCUGGAGGAAGAGUGGAAAUUGCGUUGUUAUUCGGUUCUCUAAUCUGCAUCGUUGUUGUGCUCUCUCUCUCUCUCUCUCUCUCUCUCUCUCUUUUUGUGAAUCAAGUUUGCUGGAGCUGCACAUUAGUUGUUCUUGAAUUGGUCAGAAGAAAAUGGAUUGACGCAAAAGUCAUGUAUUGCAUCUAUCAUUUUCUUAUUAGGAUUGCGAGGAGCAUUUACUUUUCUAUAACAAAUCUAAUUUCUGUUGGGAUUUCUUGCAAGUCUAUGAUUUUUCCAUGAUUUCAGCUUAACACAUUCUGCUCACAAACUUUUUUUUUUUUUUUUUUUCAGUUUUCUUUUUUCGUUUUACUGUGAAUUAUUUUCUUUUUGCUUUUUAAUAGAUUAUAUUUAUUUUGUUGUAAAAAUGGGACUUUAUAUCAAAUGCUCAGAAUUUUAUGCUGAAAUUUGUUCUGUCAUCAACUUUGUUGGCUAUUGCGGUUUGGCAGAAGAUUAAAUAUAAUCUCCGGCAGUAAACACUGGCUUAUCCCAACUAGUAAAUUUCCUUGUACAAGUUUGGGUUAUAAUGCAUUUGUUAUAUGUUGACUCUACCACGUUUAUGAAUCUCCAAAAUUCUAACAUUUCGUAUCACUGACUUUGUUCGCAAUAUCAUUGAUCCUGAAUUAACUAUCUUCAUUUAAGAACCUGCCAAAAUGGUGAUCGGUAAUUAUCUAAAAAUCAGAAUAAUAAGUCUACAGAUUUUCAUAUUACAAAAUCCUGCACAUAGAACUAUGCAUAAUUGUGCGUCUUUACAAUUUCCUAUCUUGCUGAAUUUCUGAAUUAAAAAUUGUGAAAGGCACUACUCCUAAAUAAUACAAUAGGUGGGCAUUCCUAGAAAUGCAAAUGGAUCUAGGUUGGAGCUCCGGCCUCAAUCCAUCCCGAAGGGAGCGCUAAAUGGGAAUACAAAAUAUAGAAAAAUAUAAUUCAUUUUGAAUGGAAAUAGAAAAUAUAGAAAAAUAUAACCUGUUUUGAAUCCGCCCAUGAUCUGCCAAGUAAAUGGAGUCGAAGGCGGAAGACCUUUUUCUUCCUUCAAUCCGCUUCGAUCCGUCAAUAAUCUGCCAAAAAUUCACUUCUGUCCCAAAUAGGAUGAUAAAUGAGUCAAAAAUAAAAUAAAAAAUAAUUCACCCUGAAUCCGCCCCACCUUAUAAGAAAUGGAGCGGGAGGUGGGGGAACCCUCCCCCCUCCCCCGGAUCCACCCUGUUUGGAUCCGAGACACUCCCCUAUAUGUCCAAUAUUUUUUUUAAAAAAAAAAUAGCACGAUAUUUAUUUUAUUUAUUAGAUAAAUAAAUUUAGUUAUAUAAAAUGAGACAGUUAAGGUCUCAAAAAAAAAAAAAAAAAGGUGAAAAAUUAAAGAAAAAAUGAACUAAAAAGAAAACCAAAAAAGAACUAAACACGUGUUAUUUCAAAGAAAGCGUGUGUGUGUGUGUGUGAAUCAGUACAUUGGACUAUAAAUAAGAGCAACAUUACGCAGAAGCUAAAACGGUACCUGUAAAUUAAUUAUAAAAUUAAAAACUCAUAAUUACAGCAUGUUGUGGCAUCCGCAACAGUAUUAGUAUAUGUGUGCAAAAUAAUAAUGGAAGAGAUGAUCACGCUUGGAAAUAUAACACUUGUCAAAACAGUACACCGGAUUCGCCACAACGAAUGAUAUGGACUCCUCUCUUCCAUCACGAAUACACACUGGACACGUGUCAAAACAUUUCAUGCCGAUACUCUUCUUCGUCCGUUGGAUCAACUCUAACAUCCUUCCCCGCAGCGAAUCCCCCCAAUCUUUGUUCUUAUUUUUAAUUGUCUCGGCUCUCACCAACCGCCUCUCUUUGAACGGCGACCCAAACCUACGAAGCUCUCUCGCUCCGCCAUUCCCCACGUCCACGGAAUUCCAAAUCCCUAACCCUAAUUCUCGUCCCCGUCCCCCCAAAUCCCCUAAUGCCUCUCCAAAUUUGGAUUUGAAUUCGGAGUGGAUCUUUCGAUCUCUGUGACAUGGGCACACCUCAUGUGAAUCUCGAUCUCAAUGGCGCGGAGAUCCGCGGAGAAUUGGACGAGAGGAACCCUCCAAUCUAUUUGCCCAACCAACCCUCAGAUUCCCCUCUUCUCGCGCUUGAUAUCGGAGGUAAGCGUUUUUUUUUUUUUUGUUUGGCCAAUUUUGUGAUCGAAAUGGUGUUAAAUUUGUUUCGAUUUUGAUGUGCCGGUUCGAUUUUGUGUUAAAUUUAGGGACUUUGAUCAAGCUCGUGUACUUUUCCAAUGGGAAAGAGGGGAAUGCGGGGGGUGAGAGAGGGGUUCGGAAACUUGGUGGGAAGUUGCAUUUCACGAAGUUUGAAACGCGGCGACUUGAUGAGUGCUUGGAUUUUAUUGUGUCAAAGAAGCUCCUUUGUGGUAAGAAUUUGCAAGCAUAUGCCUUUGUUAGGGUUAUUGUUUUACUUGCCAUUAAUAGUUACCAUGCCUUAAAUUGCCUUUAUGUCUCUUGAUGAGUUGAUCAUCAUGCGUUCUGUAAGAGAUAAUUUUGAGGUUCUCUUACUUACAUUUAUUGCAUUUAUCAUCCCAAGAGCAUAUAAAUGUUUGAGAAGAAUUUAACUAACGAAAAUGAUAGCCGAUGUUGGACUGGAUUUGAAGUUUUCUUUAUGCGUGGAAUUUUGAGGGAAUAUGUGUUCUCGUUUUCUUGGAAAGAAAAAAGGCGGUAAAUUACAUGUUUGGUCUUCAAACUAUGAGGCGUGCGACACUUUGGUACUCAAACUUUACUUUGUUGCAAUUUCUAGUUCGAACUUUUUUAUUAAUGCAAUCAAGUCCCACGACCAAAUUUAGUUGACUAAGCGGUUGUUUGGUUCCACGUAAAACUGUGGAAAAUAGUUUUCAGUGGAAAAAAAAUUUUCGGAGGAAAAUAAAUUUUACGGUGUUUAGUGUUUGGUUUAUAGGAAAGAAAAAUAGAUUUCCAUCACGGUUGUUGGUUGAAAGGAAAAGAAAGAUGAAUAAAAACCUAUUAUAUAUAUUUUCUUCUAUUAUAUAUAUAUUAUUAUAUUAUUGAUAUAUAAUAUAUAAUAAUCAUUAUACUACAUAUGCUAGUUUAUAUUUAUAAAUAAAAUAUAUUUUACAAUAANUUGUUAGGAACUUAGGAGUAUACGGGCUGCUGAACUCUUAAUAGCACAAUAGUCCUAUUCUCUCUCUCUCUCUCUCUCUCUCUCUCUCUCUCUAUAUAUAUAUAUAUAUAUAUAUAUAUAUAUAUGUAAAGUUUGAGAAAGAGAGGUCCACAGUGGGAACUCUCGCGCGGUCCAUGAGAAUUGGCUUUUCUCGUGGACCACGAGCACACAACCCUUGGGCCGCUUGUUUUUGAGGAGAAGGUUUUCGUUUUCUGCAUGACAGAAAUGGAAAACGAAAACCCAACUUUUCAUCCAAAUCCAUAAAAUAUUUUUCUAUGUAAAAUAAUUUUACGGCCAACCAAACAGCCUGAAAAAUAUUUUUCAGACUGAAAAGUAUUUUCGGGCAAGUUUUACGAGGAAACAAACACACCCUAAAUGUUGAUGUGUCGCUAAUGUAGAAGUGAUGUAGUAACGUUGUGAUUGAUGAUGAUGCGAUAAUAAUUAAGAUGCUAUAUCACUUCUACAUUAACGUCAACAUUAACGCUAACGUAGGAAUUUUGAGGGAAUGUGUUCUCAUUUUCUUGAAAAAAAAAAAAGAAGAGAGGAGGUAAAUUACAUGUUUGGUCUUCAAACUAUGAGGCGUGUGACACUUUGGUACUCAAACUUUACUUUGUUGCAAUUUCUAGUUCGAACUUUUUUAUUAUUGCAAUUAAGUCCCACGACCAAAUUUAGUUGACUAAGGGAUUGUUUGGUUCCACGUAAAAUUGUGAAAAAUAGUUUUCAGUGGAAAAAAAUUUUCGGUGGAAAAUAAAUUUUAGUGUUUGGUUUGUAGGAAAAGAAAAAUAGAUUUCCAUCACGGUUGUUUGGUUGAAAGGAAAAGAAAGAUGAAUAAAAACCUAUUAUAUAUUUUUUAUUAUUGCAUUGUCGUUUGAAUGUUCUUUGUUGUUAUUUCAAAAGUGUUGUAAUUUCUUUUGACCUUUGAGUUACUGCAAUGCUCUUAUAUAUGACUAAUAAUGCCUCUACAUCUUAUUUUACUUCUAGGUUGCAACUUAUUUUACAUUUCUUAUGCUAUUCAUUGUAAACUUACAUUGCCAUAAUUGUCAGGAAUGACUACAGGGUCAAGUAAAGAACAUGUGGUAAUAAAGGUAUGAUCCUUCCUUGCUACUGUUAUGCAAAUUCUUUUAGGAGAUUCUUUCUGAAAGUUAAGGCACCAUACAGAGACCUAAUUGGAACUCCAGGAUUGUUUUUUGAGACUUAUUUGAUUAGAAACUAGAAAGGCAAAAGGCCUAAUUGCUAGUACUAAUGGUGAACAAGAAUUUUAUGGCUAAUAUGUAUCAUCUGAAGAAAAUAUUAUUUAUACAAUUGAUUCAAGUUAUUGUAUUAGGAGAAAAUGUGUAUUGGUCCAUAUUUUGUUUUAACUCAUUUCUGAAACACUUUAAUAGGCUACAGGUGGUGGAGCAUUUAAAUUUGCUGAUGUCUUCAAGGAGAAGCUAGGUGUUUCUCUUGAUAAGUUGGAUGAAAUGGAUAGUGUUGUAGCUGGAGCAAACUUUUUGCUGCAGGUUCAUUACUGAAACUGUUCUCUUACAGAUUCAUCUUAAUUUGGAACUUUAUAGUUAGAGCAAACUAACCUUUUGUGCUGUUGCUGCUCACUACAAUGAAUAACACUACUCAUUUCUACAGUUCUUAAGAUCUACUUACAUUUUUGUGGUUUCCAUGUAAAACUUGCUACAUGAUUUUGCCAUUAAGGAGAUUCUUAUUAAGGAAUCUCAAAGAGAAGAGAUAAGGAGAUAUGAAAAUUGUAUAAACAUCACCAUAUGUUGGUAAAUUGCAUUAUUAUGUACAUUAUGUAAAACGUAUCGUAAUGAGUUUAAUUACUGACAGAAAACAAUUAUAUUGAAGAGUAUGCAAGACCUGGUUUAUAUCAUGUAUAAUGCGCAGAAUGAUUAACUAAGUGGGCUUAUAUUUCUUUUUCAGUGUAAAAUAAGGUUUUUGUGCAACAUCAUUUGUCUUUGUCAAGAUGUUAUUCAUACAAAGUGCUUUUGGGUUCACUUUAAACUGUCCUAGCCUUUGUUCUUUUUUGCAGAAAAUUCCUGGUGAAUCCUUCACACACAUGAAUGGAAAACGGACUCUUGUAACUAUUAGUCCGAAGAACUUGUUUCCAUACCUUCUUGUCAAUAUUGGCUCAGGUGUUAGUAUAAUAAAGGUAAUUCUGCAUAUGGUGUGCUUGGUAAAAAUUUCUAAUGAUGAUCCUAUUUAGUUAGAUAUUUUUCAUCAAUUCAAUUUAGGUCACUGGAACUAGGAAGUUUGAAAGGGUAAGUGGGACCCACAUCGGUGGGGGCACCAUGUUUGGUUUAGCAAAACUUUUAACUGGUUGCAAAAGGUAUGUUACAUUUGUAUCAUCUGUUAUGCAUAUGCUUAUGCAUUUGGUUCGACUCACAUGCAUGUCACUUACAGUUAUGAUGAGUUCUUGAAGUUGAGCCAGAAAGGGGACAAUCUUGUUCUUGAUUUGAUUGUCAAAGAUAUUUGUGGGGAACUGGUUUGCCAAAAGGUAUCUUUUCUACUGUUUGGAUUUCAUAUUCUUAUUAUUUAGCAAUUACCAGAAUUAAUCAAGGAUGGUAUGCUUUCAUAUUGUCAAAAGUUGAUUGUAGUAACCUGCUGUUCUUUUAUUAUAGUUACCAUUUGUUUAGAGUUAGUAAUUGUUUGCUUAUCUAGUUUAUUUUAGCACUUUUGGUGGUUUCUGUUGGCAUAAUAUGGUUUUAGUGAUCACUUUCUUUUCAUUUAUGUCUCAGCAAGGUCUUUCAGCGUCAACUCUUGCUUCUAGCUUUGGGAAAGUGAUAACGUCUAAAAGGAAGCUCGCGGAUUACAAACCUGAGGACCUUGCUGCUACCCUAUUAAGUGCUUUUACUUAUAACAUUGCACAAGUAAGUUUCUUUCUGGCUUUUUGAGAUUUUUUUUUUAAACUUAAUCGAUUGGCAGAAUCAAUAUUCUGAACUGCCAAGUAGCUUGUUAAUGUUCUGUUAUCUUCUUACCUUUGUCAGAUCAUAGUAACUUUGUAUACUACUGAUUAACGCUAUCAAAAGAUCUCCUGAUCUUGUCCUGUUGUGAAGGUCUUGGCCGAUCAAAGGAUAAAACAGUUCAAGAUGUGACCAUAGAAUAGAACAGUGUGAAGUUCCUAAACAGAAUGAAAACGUAAUAAAAGCAAGAGCUACGAUCCUUAAGCAGUGUAAAAAGAUUUGAGUAAAAAAGAAAAUUAGUGUAAAAAGAUUUGAGGAAAAAAGGAAAAUUAAGAGAAUAAUACUUUAGAUGUUAAGGGCAUGCAUUUAAUUAUAAAGGUGGCCAGACAAAGAGAACCCAUUUGUGGUUUUUUUUUUUUUUUUUUUUNGGGGGAGGGAUUGGGGUGGUUCAUGGAAGGCCAUUUGACCUUUUCAGAUUGAAAUGCUCUAAGCUAUGAGUGGAAAAUAUCUUUCUGUGAGCAAUAACUAUGCAUUCAAUCAUUAUAAAUUGAAGGAAAAAACAAACACAUUGAUUAUUAUGAAACAAGUUACUAAUGCUGGUUCUUGUACUUACACUAUUCCUUCAGAUUUCUUUCCUUGUAGCAUCACUCUUGGGGCUCAGGAAGGUUUUCUUUGGAGGAUCGUAUAUUCGUGGUCAUACAAGCACAAUGGACAACAUUAGUUAUGCAAUUGACUUCUGGUAUACUUCAUGAAUUACAUUCAUUGAGCAUGCAAAACAUGACAAAUUUAUUUUACUCGUUAUCCUUGAUGUUUAAUAAUUCAUAAUUGGAAAGGCUUUCUUUUUGCUUGUGUUUGCUUUCAUUGUUAUGCUUGUCAUUCAGGUCAAAAGGUCAGAUGCAAGCACUCUUUUUACGCCAUGAAGGGUUUUUAGGAUCUCUUGGUGCAUUAACUAGUUAUGGAAACAUUGAUACUGAUAGCCUGACACUUGAGGAUUCAAAAGAACAAGUGAGUUAAGAUGAGAAUGGUGAGAAACUAGUAUAUGAUUUUUAUGUAGAGAUACUGUUGGAUAUUUAUACGAAUUGCUGCAAGUUCUACUUCAGAUUAUGUUUUCUCAAUCUUGUAAAUUUGCGAUAUCAACGUAAUGUUGAAUAAUUCUCCUUAUCAACUAGAACGUUUCCUCUCUAAAGUUAUAUAUUAUCUUCAUAAUAAUCUUAUGACUGGGAAUACAUCUAUCUGUGCUUGUUAUUGGUUACAAGAUGUAUAUCACUAUCUAGUAUAUUAGAUAUAAAAUGCAUUAUAACAUAUAAGAUUUAGAAUUCCUGAUAGCAUGGGCAAGGGAGCUAUUUGCUAGGGAUAUUUAGGUGUUACCAUCAGAUAUGACAAUCUAGGUAGACCUCUUAUAUUGACCACCAGCAUUGUUCAAAUUUCACAUUGAAUUUCUUUCUGUUGUUCACGUCUUCUUUCUUUGAUCUUUUGGUCACCUCUAUGAUCGUGACUUAAAUAGACCAGUUUCUAUGCAUUUGGUCAAAUACAAUCAUGUAAUCAUGGUCUCACAUUAACUCCAAAACUUUUCCGCUGAGCAUUCUCUGGGUCUUGUUUUUGUUGACCUUUGAAGUAUUGCAUCUUCAUUAUCUGUAUGGUUGGUAAAACUGAAAUAUAAGAUCUGCUAGAAUUUAUAACUUGAGUGUCGCUAAUUGUUUUAAUGCUACGUUCUUAUGGAAGUAGUGGCUUCAAUAAAACAAACUUUUAUGAUAAAAAUUUAACUUAAGCAAAGUCAACAGUGUGAUAUUUCUCUCUCCAAUUAUCCUUCUUUGAAUGGUGAUAUUUUUUUUUUUUCAAAGGCUUCUCUCCACCUGUUAUGUGGAUGUUAGAAGUAAUUAAUCUUCCUUGUUUUACCAUUAUUUAUGCAGGAUAUAUUCCAUGACUCAUCUGCACCUAUUGAUGGAAAGUUAGCAGCUGAACAUACGGAAAGCAACAUCUUUCCUUAUCUACUUGUUAAUAUUGGCUCAGGUGUUAGCAUGGUUGAGGUCAGUCUUCGAUAAUGUACCACUCUAGCUAAUUACACAAUUUGUUGGCAUACUUACUAAUUGUCUGCAAUAUCUAUUGAGUAGGUGAUUGGAAAGGGAAAGUUUGAGCGUAUUAUUGGGACCCACUUAGGUGGCGGUACUAUCCUUGGUCUUGCAAGGCUGCUGACGGGCUGUUCCAGGUAAAGACCAUUACAACCUGUGUUUCAAAUAGAAAUUCUUUAGAAAUUUCAUUAUUACAUGCAUACUGUUUCUUUGUAGUUAUGAAGAGUUUUUGGAGUUGAGCCAAAGGGGUAAUAAUUUAUCAGUAGACUUGACUGUUGGGGAUAUAUAUGGUGAGCAAGGUUAUCUGAAGGUAUAAUUUCUUCCCUGUGGUUACAGAGGAGAAAACUACAAGAUGCAUUCACCAUCUGAUUAGAACUUUCAAGCUUCAGAAGCGUUAAUUACAAAAGAAAUAUUCUCUUAUUUAGAUUGUCUUUGUAUCAGUUUCAAUAGUAUGAGUUCACUGAUUGUAUGUAUCAGUGAUUGAUUUUCUAAUGGUAUCUUACUUGUUUUAAUUAUCAUAGCAUGGUCUCCCAGCGUCUACUACUGCUUCUAGCUUUGGGAAGGUAAAUUCGAACAAGCUUUCAGAUUACAAAGUAGAGGAUCUUGCUGCAGCUCUCUUGAGUGCUUUCAGUUACAAUAUUGGACAAGUAAGCUGCCUCUCUUAGGAACAAAUAGUUCUGUUUAGCAGGGAAGUAUGAUCUGCAGGAAGUAAUUUGUUUCUAUAACUGUUAUGCUCUUUGAUUUCAUAGACCUGAUAUAACAUGGUCCACUGAAGUUUGAGAAUAGCAUCUAAGAACUCUUCUCCAGUUAGAAAUUGAAAGAUUGUUUCUUUAAUUAAGACAUUGGAUGCUCAGAGCCACUGCAACUUAAUUCCCAACAUUUACAUUUUUAAUGUCUCAUAUGGAGCCUUAUUUCUGCCAGACCUACUAGUUUGUUAGUUUUGGUUUGUGUAAUGCUACAUCUAUUCAUUGGCUUGUAUGUGCUUGCUUAUAAUUUUUUCUUGAUGUUUGUUUCAGAUAGCCUAUUUCGUGGCAACUCUAUCAGGGAUGAAGAGAAUUUUCUUUCGAGGAACAUACGUUUGUGGUCAUGAAAAGACUAUGGACAAGAUUUCUCGAGCACUUAAAUAUUGGUAAUACGCAUGGCUUUUGACUUGUUUAAUUUGAUUCGGUACUCUGUAAUUUGCCAGUAAUUUGCUAAUAUCGACAAAUCUCUUGGCCCUUUCCUGCCCCUGAUGUUUUUUUUAAUGAUCUUUCAGGUCCAAAGGCCAAGUCCAAACGACAUUCCUUUGCCACGAGGGAUUCUUAGGAACUCUAGGAGCUUUUUGGAGCUAUGAAAGCAUGGGCAUUGACGGCUUGGCCGCCCCUGAGGUCAUAAAGGAGGUCUUGCUUGGCGCUCCUUACACUGGAGGACAAUUUCCAACUCUACCUCCGAGUCAGCAGAAUGACCGUGUAAGCAAAUGCUCACUUAUUACGGGUUAAUCUUAGCUUAGAAAACUAGCAGUUGAUGAUCAUUGAUUCCUCUGUUUGCAUGGUUCUACAUCCCUUUUUUAUGAUUCUCUGCUUCUUAUGAGGAAGUCCUAAGGCACAGUAGUGUGGCUGUCGCAAGAUGCAGCUCAACCUUAUGCAUGUUUUUCCAAAAUGUAACUGUGGAGACUAGAUUAACAUCCUGCGCACAUGAUGCGGACUAAGAUUAGUUAGUCGAGAUUGCAUUGCCGUAUCUAUGCACCGUUAAGGAACUAACAUGAGCUUAAGCAUUGGGAGAGUUGGUUAGCACUGGUAGUUUAAGCUUUUGGGAUAGUUGGUUAGCACCAUCUCUCUGCGGACAAGUAUCAUCAUGGAUUUUGUUUUCCAAGAACGCUGCUUAAACAAACACAGGCAUCGACGUGAUUGUUGGGGUGCAAAUUGUAACUCCAAUUGAUUUGCUGACAAUGGUUUAACUCACGAAUUUCUUAACUAAACCCUAUAUUCUUAUUUCCUUCUUCUACUUGCAACUCUCUCUUGUCUUCCGCAGAAUGAUGCUAUCGACCUCAGGACAGAAGUUGAGAAGCUAAAACAUGACAAUGCAAUGCUCAGAGCCAUGGUAGAAAGGCUACAAUGUGAAAAUGAAGAGCUCAAAGCUAAGUCUCGGCAAUCAUAGCAUAAACAUUAUAUGACAACAUCCCAAGAAAGAGAUGAUCAGUUUCGCAACAUGAAGCAAAACAACAAAAUUGGAGCAAAUAAGGUUUCGAGCCCGGCAUCAGAAUUUUGGCUACAGCUUCUGGGCCGAAAAUUAUCCCAAUCUUUUAUGUAUUAUUGUUAUUCAUGUUAUCGAUCUGUUUGUAUGUAGAGUUAGAAAUGUUUUUGUAGUUAGUUCCAAAUUGUUGCAUGUUUUUCAUAAGCCCCUUCUAGUAUGUAGACUAUUGAAUCUGCACUUUCUUUGGUAUCAAAUGAUUGUAGAACCAAGAUGAUUUGAUUUGUAACAUCAUAAAUUGAAGGGAGUUAAUUUUAAACUAACUUCUUUAUUUGAAAUGUAAUAUUGGAUUGAAUUGAGGUGCCUUUCUUCUGAAUAAGGAUUUUCACACUUGGUCAUUUUAUAAUUUAAUAAAGAGAGUCCAAUUUAAACCUUCAUGUUUAGUAGAAUUAUUUGGCCAAGAAGCAUUAUGUAAAAAUGUUCUUUGCAAUUCCAUUGCUAUUUUUCCACAUUUUAACCUUCAUAUUUUUUAUGUUCUUGUAAGGUUCCAACCUGAUACUGAGAUUACUGAUACUCGAAAUCCUGUCCUCAGAAAGCAAAAUAACUCGUGAGUUUUGCAAAUUCGAGUUCGCACUCCACAAGUGAUGCCUAUUACUUUUAAACUAAGAAAAUUCAAACCUCUUAUUAAUGUUCGCACAAAAAUAAACAUACCGAAAAUGAUGCAGAACUAAAACAAAAUCAUGAUUAGCAAGAAGCAACAGAAAUCGAUCAUUAAAACUUUUGUUCUUGAAAAUAAAAAACAAGAGAUUAUAAACAAACAAAAAAAAGAAAAAAAAAAUCAAAGCGUUAGUUGGUAAUAUUUUCAAAUAAAGUGUCCGAGCAUCUGAAUGCAACACGCCGCACCGCAUACGAACGGCGAGUGCCAGAAUCUCAGCUCGAUUUCGUUCUCGGCAACGUACAGCGCUGAAGACGCUACAGCAAAAGAAGCGCAUCAGAGACUCUAAUUUAUUGCCUUUUAUUAUACUAUUAUUAUUAUCAUCAUCAUCAUCAUCAUCAUCAUCUCUGUUGUAAUCUUCCUUUUAAAAAUAAACUAAAAAAAAAGGAUUAAAUAGGGCAAAAAAAAAAAAAAAAACCUAUUCCUAAAAACGCAAAAAAAAAGAAGAGAAAAAGAUAGGAGUCUCAGAGAGACAAAAUAGAGGAUAUCAACACUGCUUUUGUUUCGUGGCAUCAGCGUUUGAUGGUAUCUUUGUUCCCUCAUCACAGACCAUCCAUCUUCAUCAUCUUUGUAACAAAAUACGAGAUAAAAUUUAAGAAAAAAAACAAAAAAAAAGAAAGUAAAAAAAAAAACCAAAAUAAGGGGCCUCAGAAGCUUGAUUGGCAUAAAAAGAAAUUCGCAUCAAAGAGAAACAUCUCAGAUGGUACAGACAAUAAUGGUACAUCAUCGGCCCAUUACAUUAAAUUAAUAAUAAUAAUAAUUAGAUCGUGAUAGAAAAGAAAAAAUUUUACACCUUGAUGAUUUUGUGGGUGGGAGGGAGCUUCAAGGUUCGGAGCGAUUGAGAUGGGCUUUGGUAGAUUAUAUAUAUAUAUAUCGAGUGCCAAGGGGCAGGAACGAAGAGAAACCCUAAUUCGUAAACUUUUUGGUAUUUUUGUAUUAUGAUCCCUUCCGAUUUAUGAAAUUGCAAAGCAACUUUUUUUCUUUUUUUUUUUACUUAACAUUUCUCUUUUCUUUGUGUUAAAAUAUUUUUAACUUGGGGGUGUUUGCUUCGGCAUAAAAUAAGACCCAAAAUUAUUUUCGGUAAGAAAAUAUUUUUUUACUUGUUUGGCUCGAAGUAAAAUUUAUAUACAAAAAAUUUCAAAUACCCCAUCUAGGUUUAUCAAAUAUUCAUUUUAGUAUCAUUUAGUUUUAAUUUGUCACUGAUUUAAUGAAAAAAAUUAGUCGAAUGGAUGAUAAAAAAAAAGAAGAAAUCACCGGAUACUAAAUUGAUACACUUUAAACUAUAUAGUACUAAAGUGAAAAAGUAUAAAAUCGCAAGAGUGGUAUGUGAAGCCUUUCCUAUAUUUUUUAGGCUAAAUUAUAGGAAGCUCCUCGUCAAUAUUCGCCAAUUCACUUUCUCCCUAUUAUUCAAUAACCUACACUUUGACAUUUUACAAAAUGAAAAAUAUUCACUUCGGCUCUCGCCGUUAGUGUUUUAUUAGGAUUCUGUUUAUAUUUAUUUUUUAUAUCCAAAAUAUCUCUGAAAUCCUCAUCCAUACCCACACACAUGCUCUCGACCGCAGCCUUGCCCUGCGCUGUCGCCUUGCCCUCACCCACCUCUCUGUCCAUGCCCAGAUACACGCCCUCUUCCUUCUUCGCCGUCGAAAUGAGUAAGAUUGGGGAGGAGGAGAUGAAGAAGAUAAGAGCAAUUUGGUUAUUUUGUUACAUCGUAACUUUCUACGAAUAUUCUUUAAUUUUUAAGAAAUAAAGUGUAAAUUUUUAAUUGACUGCAAAAAAGAAAAAACUGGGAUGGACAUAAAGUUUUAUGUAAUUUAGCCUAUUUUCUAAGACUAUUAAUAAAAAAAAUUCUCCCUCAUCCAGGGAUGUAAUGUGGGCUGUGCCGGACUAGCACGACCCACAUUAUACAGGCCGAUUUGGGCCAAGGGUCGGCCCGGCCUGACUCGAUUAUUAAUCCGGACCGAACCGUGCCGGUCCGUUUACUUAGACUAUGAGGCCCGGCCUGGUCCCCUGGCUGGCCCAAUACGGGCCGUGCCGGGCUGGGCCGGGGUUCAUGCCAGCCCAUAUUUUGUUUUAAAUUUUUUCACACAGUUUUUUUUAGAAAUUUAUUUUUUUUCCAGAAAAAGAAAUAAUUUUUUUUUUAAAAUUAUAAAUUUGACUUAUAAUUUUUACUUUGCACAAUUAUACCCAACUUUUUGAAAACUUUUUAAUUAAAUUUUUUAAUAAUUUUUUAUUAUUUAAAGAGAAAAUAAUAUUUUAAAAAAUAAAUAAUAAAAAAUAUAUAAAGUUUGUAUUAAUUAUAUUAUAUAAUUACAUGAAAAAAAAUAAAAAAAAAUAUAUUUAAAUAAACAUAUUUAAAAUUAUUUUUUUAAAAAAAUAAUUUUGUUUUAAGGGUCUGACCCUUGGGUGUUGGAACUUGGGAGAGAGCUGUGAGAGAGAAAGAGAGAGAGAGAGAGAGAGAGAGAGAGAGAGAGAGAGAGGGGCAUGCUUCAAGUUGGGUCAAAUCAUUGUUAUAGGCUUAUAGGAUAUGGCCUUAUAGGCCUAGGCCCGGACCAGAGUCGUGCCGGGCCGGGCGGCCUACGAGCCGCCCGGCCCGUUUUACAAUCCUACCCUCAUCUCUCUCUCUCUCUCUCUCUCUCUCUCUUCCUCUUUCUCUCAAGGCGUUUGGCCAACUCUCGAAUCUCGAGACUCUCGACCCGGUGCCUCGCUCUCUCGCGAGAACGACGACGAGGACGAAGAGGAGUUGGUGCCGUGGUGGCGACAUCUAGGGUUUCCCCUCUCUCAGCCGCUUCCUCUCUCAUCGUCCUCACCCCGACGCACGGUCGCUCAGAAACCCUAAACCCCACUCGUCCUAUACUACUCGAUCACCACCUUCCUCGGCUCCUCCUCGCAUCGGAUUAGGGUAUUUUCGCACUAUCUAAGUAUUUUGCUGUUCUAUCUGAAAUGUGGCUGUAAAUUAGUAUAGAAGUAUGUUUUUGUUGAAGAACAAAUUAGUGAUAAUACAGUAUAACUCGAAUUUUCUUUUAUUAAUAGACUUAAAAAUAUAUAAUUAUAAAAGUAGUUUUUAAAAAAAAUAUUUACUAAACUAGGUCUAUGAGGAGAAUGAAUUACCGCCUUCUGAAUGCGGAGAAUCGGUUACCACUUUCUUUAAAGCAUUAAAAUUAUUUUUAGUGAUUAAUGCAGUACAUUUUUUGGAGUUUGGCGGCGAAUGAUUUACCGCUUUUAUAAAAAUUUUGGAUAUCUAUUCUUACAAUUAAAAUGAUCUGCAUGCUUAGUAGGCCAAAAACCCUGGUAACUUGACAUUGGAGUGCUCAAAUCCUAGAUGAUAUUAUGUUUGGUCAAUUUUGCUGAUGGAAAUAAGGUUUAAUGGCGAUCUCUCUUUCUUGCAAGACUCUGUUUUUAGGUGAGAAAUCAAUGAUUGUAACUGUUUCCUUGUGGACGAUUGGCAGUUUAGAUGUGUUUGGUAAUUCUCUGCCUAGAUGGAAUGGAAGAUAAUAACUUGCAGAAGUUUUUAAAGAACAAUUUCUCAAAAGAAAAGAAAAGAAAAAAGAAAAAAGAAUUGUUUGACGACCAUAGAAAAAUAAAGUUCAAAGGGGCAUAAAAAGGGUAGUAUGUGAUUUUGAGUGCGAAGUGAUUUGGUAGGGCCAUAGAAAAUCUAGCAACUUUUCAAUAAGAGAUGGAUUGCUUGUAGUUUAGCAUGUGAGUUUCCUUUCAUGAUAUUUUAACUUAGUAAAAAAAAUUCUGAGCUUUGUUUGAUGAAUGAUUUUGGAUGCACUUGACGUAUGAACUCCAUGACUUCAGAUUCUCUAGUUUUAAGUUAUGCUGGAAUUGCAUUUCCAUAAAUAAAUCUAGAGAAGCAUUGAUAAAGACGUGAGAGAUGUCCUUCCAUCUACAAUCGUAGAACUCUUUACAUCACUUGCAUUUCAGUGAACUACUUUAGCAGUUCUAUUUGUCUGUGCACUUUUCCAUGUGGCUUCUUACUAGAUUCAUCCGAUACAUCGGGCAAGCACUGAAUGUGGGGAAUAUUUAGUCGGACAUGUCCUAUAGAACACGUGGGGUAUGAACUGUUGGCUAGCACUUGAUUUUGCUUUGAGAUUCACUUGAAGUGCUAUCUGACAGCUCAUAUUCUAAGUGUCUGAUAGGGUGCAUCACACUAAUAUUUCUUUCCGUGAUUGAAUUUCUUUCUUUCAAACUUUGGUUAACUUCUCAUUAAGUCAUAAAAUGCCAACGUGGCGAUUUUUUUUUUUUUUUGUCAAUGAUCAAGGAUAUAAAAUAAGAGACCAUGUUAUUAAUUAGGAUUAGCGUCAAUCUCUCUGUAAGAGUUAAACCACUAGGACUGUUGGCUUAUUGUCUUUUUCAGCAAAACGGCAGUAAUACAUUUCUAAGCUCAAUCUAAUUGAGUAAUAUGUCUAAUUUUAGCUGAUUUUUAUAUUUGCAUUUUAACACUUUCUAUGAUGCAUGUUACCAAUCGAUAGCAGAGCUAAAGCAAAAAUUAUGGCAUAUAAUUCUAGUGUUGUGUCGAUAAAUAGCUGAUAUUUUUUGAUGGUUCGAAAGCCUGUUCCAAAGCCUAUUCAAUUUUUUGGGUCAACCUUAGGCACUUGUUUGUUUUGGGGAUGAUUCAGGUUACAGGGUCUUAUCCCACAAUUCUGCUGAACAAACUUUUUUCCUUUUGGAGGUAUGCUUAGAAGACUAAUUUGAAGUCGUGAAGAAGUAUGUGGUAGACCAUUUACUAGUACCCAAGGAUUUAAGUGCCCUGGCACGAGGUUGUGCCAGAAACUUGCCAGCACGAGACGGCAUGGCACGGUCCGUGCCGAGCCGUGCCGAUGUGUGCCGGUCAAAAAAAUUCUUGUGUGCUGACACAUAAUAGCAUGAAUAUUUAUUUUCUUUAGCAACAAAAUAUUCUAACUAUUUAUUAUGUCUUUUUAUCACAUUUUUUGAACUUUUUUGAAAAAUUUACUUACUAAUUUAAAGAAUAGAGGGUUUUGAGUUAUGCCAUCGACACGAGAUCUGUAUCAUGGCUGUAUCUUGUUGGCACGGUACGGCACUGUGGAUAUGGCCC